rnacentral:rRNA from 1 species
UUUGUCCUACGGGGGGCAGCAGUGGGGAAUAUUGCACAAUGGGGGAAACCCUGAUGCAGCGACGCCGCGUGAGUGAAGAAGUAUUUCGGUACGUAAAGCUCUAUCAGCAGGGAAGAAAAAAAGUCCUUUGGACUUUGGACGGUACCUGACCAAGAAGCCCCGGCUAACUACGUGCCAGCAGCCGCGGUAAUACGUAGGGGGCAAGCGUUAUCCGGAUUUACUGGGUGUAAAGGGAGCGUAGACGGAGGAGCAAGUCUGAUGUGAAAAUCCGGGGCCCAACCCCGGAACUGCAUUGGAAACUGUUU